GACGAACGCUGGCGGCGUGCUUAACACAUGCAAGUCGAACGGAAAGGCCCUGCUUUUGUGGGGUGCUCGAGUGGCGAACGGGUGAGUAACACGUGAGUAACCUGCCCUUGACUUUUGGAUAACUUCAGGAAACUGGGGCUAAUACCGGAUAGGAGCUCCUGCUGCAUGGUGGGGGUUGGAAAGUUUCGGCGGUUGGGGAUUGACUCGGGGGUUAUCAGCUUUGUGGUGGGGGAGUGGCUUACCAAGGCUUUGACGGGUAGCCGGCCCGAGAGGGUGACCGGCCACAUUGGGACUGAGAGACGGCCCAGACGGCUACGGUAGGCAGCAGUGGAGAAUAUUGCACAAUGGGCGGACGCCUGAUGCAGAAACGCCGCGUGCGGGAUGACGGCCUUCUGGUUGUAAACCGCUUUCGCCUGUGACGAAGCGUGAGUGACGGUAAUGGGUAAAGAAGCACCGGCUAACUACGUG
rnacentral:rRNA from 1 species